rnacentral:rRNA from 1 species
UAAUUCGAAGCAACGCGAAGAACCUUACCAGGUCUUGACAUCCAGUGCAAACCUAAGAGAUUAGGUGUUCCCUUCGGGGACGCUGAGACAGGUGGUGCAUGGCUGUCGUCAGCUCGUGUCGUGAGAUGUUGGGUUAAGUCCCGCAACGAGCGCAACCCUUGUCAUUAGUUGCCAUCAUUAAGUUGGGCACUCUAAUGAGACUGCCGGUGACAAACCGGAGGAAGGUGGGGAUGACGUCAAGUCAUCAUGCCCCUUAUGACCUGGGCUACACACGUGCUACAAUGGACGGUACAACGAGAAGCGAACCUGCGAAGGCAAGCGGAUCUCUUAAAGCCGUUCUCAGUUCGGACUGUAGGCUGCAACUCGCCUACACGAAGCUGGAAUCGCUAGUAAUCGCGGAUCAGCACGCCGCGGUGAAUACGUUCCCGGGCCUUGUACACACCGCCCGUCACACCAUGAGAGUCUGUAACACCCAAAGCCGGUGGGAUAACCUUUAUAGGAGUCAGCCGUCUAAGGUAGGACAGAUGAUUAGGGUGAAGUCGUAACAAGGUAGCCGU